rnacentral:misc_RNA from 1 species
CACCAAUCGAAAAUUUUCCUGAAAAAAUCGCGGAAUUGGCCAAAAGCAAAGAGCAAUCCAUAGCUGAAGUAUGUGGUCAACGCGGUCAGAUAGGGGAUGGUUAUCAUUGCUUCGAGGGGAAAUGCAGUGAUUGUUAGAUCUAGUAACUGAGAUUGAGAGGUUUCAAUUGAAAUUGGCGACGCAAUCCAACAUCAGAGAUUUGAAUUUCUGUCGCAAUUGAAAAAUGAUCAAUCGAUUCGAUCGAUCCAGCCCCUUCCCCUUCCCCUUCGGUUUGAUUUUUCAAAUUUCUUUUCCGUUGUUUUUGACUCUGACCACAGAAAGAAAUUAAAAAAUCGC